CAGUUUAUACCGUAGCUUGCUACACCAUAGACUGUGAGUUGCGAACGGGUGAGUAACGCGUAGGUAACCUACCUAUUAGAGGGGGAUAACUAUUGGAAACGAUAGCUAAUACCGCAUAACAGUAUGUAACACAUGUUAGAUGCUUGAAAGAUGCAAUUGCAUCGCUAGUAGAUGGACCUGCGUUGUAUUAGCUAGUAGGUAGGGUAAUGGCCUACCUAGGCAACGAUACAUAGCCGACCUGAGAGGGUGAUCGGCCACACUGGGACUGAGACACGGCCCAGACUCCUACGGGAGGCAGCAGUAGGGAAUCUUCGGCAAUGGGGGGAACCCUGACCGAGCAACGCCGCGUGAGUGAAGAAGGUUUUCGGAUCGUAAAGCUCUGUUGUUAAGGAAGAACGAGUGUGAGAAUGGAAAGUUCAUGCUGUGACGGUACUUAACCAGAAAGGGACGGCUAACUACGUGCCAGCAGCCGCGGUAAUACGUAGGUCCCGAGCGUUGUCCGGAUUUAUUGGGCGUAAAGCGAGCGCAGGCGGUUAGAAAAGUCUGAAGUGAAAGGCAGUGGCUCAACCAUUGUAGGCUUUGGAAACUGUUUAACUUGAGUGCAGAAGGGGAGAGUGGAAUUCCAUGUGUAGCGGUGAAAUGCGUAGAUAUAUGGAGGAACACCGGUGGCGAAAGCGGCUCUCUGGUCUGUAACUGACGCUGAGGCUCGAAAGCGUGGGGAGCGAACAGGAUUAGAUACCCUGGUAGUCCACGCCGUANACGAUAAGUGCUAGGUGUUAGGUC
rnacentral:rRNA from 1 species